rnacentral:rRNA from 1 species
AUGGGGAAGAGGCUGAGGUCGACACGGCCGCAGCAGUCCAAGCGAUCCAGCAAGGCGGCGGCGGUGUCCGACUCUGACGACGACGAGAUUGACGCCUUCCCCAAGCAGCGGGACGCCACCCCCCUCAACGCCGACGACUCGAGGGACCCAGAGGAGGAGGAUCCGGUGCAGCCUGUCAACGAUCUCGAGGGUGUUUCCGGCCAUGAAACUGAUGAUGGCGAAGAAGGCAAGGACGGCGAUGGAAGUGAUGACAGCGAAGGAGGUAAGGACGGCGACACGGACGCAGAUAAUUAUGAGGUAUGGGGCAAAAAAUAUGUGGCAAAAAUCAAGAGAGCGCACAAGGCAAUCCAACAAAUUUUUACCGGUGAUGAUAGUUCGGAUGAAUUUGAUUGGGGUAGCGGAAAUACAUUAUACUAUGAUGGCGAUGAGCAUGAUGCUGAUGAUCUUGACUGUGAAGAGACAAGGAGGAUACAAGCAGAGAAGGAUAGUAAGCUGUCAAUGAAAGAUUUCGGAUUAGACGACGAUGAUGAGGAGGGAAAAUCUAGCAACUUACUGGUUCUGGACAGAGUAAAACAGGGUGCUGAAGUAGGCAAAUUGACAAAGAAUGGGCCUUCUAAUGGGCACCAUGAAAUUGCCAAAAGGAAGAGCAAGGAUGAAGGAAAAAGGGCUGAGAAGGGGUUGAAGGAAAAAGGGUUGAAGCCAAAGUUGUCAAAAACCAGGGCAACCAAUAAUAGGAAAAAACUGCAGACAUUGGAUGACUUUGAUGAUGAAGUGCAGAAAUUUAGUUGA